GCUCAACCGAGGAAGUGCUUCGAAAACUGGUAAACUUGAGUGCAGAAGAGGAAAGUGGAACUCCAUGUGUAGCGGUGGAAUGCGUAGAUAUAUGGAAGAACACCAGUGGCGAAGGCGGCUCUCUGGUCUGUAACUGACGCUGAGAUUCGAAAGCAUGGGUAGCAAACAGGAUUAGAUACCCUGGUAGUCCAUGCCGUAAACGAUGAGUGCUAAGUGUUGGAGGGUUUCCGCCCUUCAGUGCUGCAGCUAACGCAUUAAGCACUCCGCCUGGGGAGUACGAUCGCAAGAUUGAAACUCAAAGGAAUUGACGGGGGCCCGCACAAGCGGUGGAGCAUGUGGUUUAAUUCGAAGCAACGCGAAGAACCUUACCAGGUCUUGACAUACUAUGAAAAGCUAAGAGAUUAGUCUUUCCCUUCGGGGACAUGGAUACAGGUGGUGCAUGGUUGUCGUCAGCUCGUGUCGUGAGAUGUUGGGCUAAGUCCCGCAACGAGCGCAACCCUUAUUAUCAGUUGCCAGCAUUCAGUUGGGCACUCUGGUGAGACUGCCGGUGACAAACCGGAGGAAGGUGGGGACGACGUUAAAUCAUCAUGCCCCUUAUGACCUGGGCUACACACGUGCUACAAUGGUCGGUACAACG
rnacentral:rRNA from 1 species